GAUGAACGCUGGCGGCGUGCCUAAUACAUGCAAGUCGAGCGAACGGACGAGAAGCUUGCUUCUCUGAUGUUAGCGGCGGACGGGUGAGUAACACGUGGAUAACCUACCUAUAAGACUGGGAUAACUUCGGGAAACCGGAGCUAAUACCGGAUAAUAUUUUGAACCGCAUGGUUCAAAAGUGAAAGAGGGUCUUGCGGUAACUAAUAGAUGAAUCCGCGCUGCAUUAGCUAGUUGGUAAGGUAACGGCUUACCAAGGCAACGAUGCAUAGCCGACCUGAGAGGGUGAUCGGCCACACUGGAACUGAGACACGGUCCAGACUCCUACGGGAGGCAGCAGUAGGGAAUCUUCCGCAAUGGGCGAAAGCCUGACGGAGCAACGCCGCGUGAGUGAUGAAGGUCUUCGGAUCGUAAAACUCUGUUAUUAGGGAAGAACAUAUGUGUAAGUAACUGUGCACAUCUUGACGGUACCUAAUCAGAAAGCCACGGCUAACUACGUG
rnacentral:rRNA from 1 species